rnacentral:rRNA from 1 species
UACGUGAGGCAGCAAGCGUUGUUCGGAGUUACGUGGGCGUAAAGGGUGCGUAGGCGGUUGUUUAAGUUUGGUGUGAAAUCUCCCGGCUCAACCGGGAGGGUGCGCCGAAUACUGAAUGACUAGAGUGCGGGAGAGGAGAGUGGAAUUCCUGGUGUAGCGGUGAAAUGCGCAGAUAUCAGAGGAACACCGGUGGCGAAGGCGGGUCUCUGGGCCGAUGACUGACGCUGAGGAGCGAAAGCGUGGGGAGCAAACAGG